AUGUUAAAAACUUGGUAUGGUGGUAUGUCGAUCAAAACCUUGUGUGGAUAUGCUUCCAAAGUAACAUCUUCUUCUAGUUCUACUUGGUGGAGGGAUAUUAUUAGGAUAAGGGAACUAUCUUUUGAAUAUCCUAUCAUCUCUAAUAGUAGAUUUCUAAUGGGUAAUGGUUUUAAAACUUCUUUUUGGGAAGCUAAAUGGUUGGAGGAUAUAACUUUGAAGGAGCUUUUUCUGGAUUUAUAUUUGGCUUCUUGUUUGAAGGAAGUGACGGUGGCGGGUAUGGGGGGUUGGAUUGAAGAGGGGGUGGAUUUAGGGUGA